GAUAUAUUUUUAAUGUGAAAUAUGACAACACGUAUUUAUUCGAGAUUACUAUGCUCUAUGCAGUCACAAUUUGUUUUCGAUAAUGUUGGGAGUGUUGAGAUACAUUGAUAAAACAAAUUCCAUAGUGGCUAAAAAAAAUAUAAUCUGUAAAAAAAACAAAUAUUGAGCAAUAAACUACAAUAUCAAUUGAUGUAUUUAUAGUAAAAAUAUCAGUUCAUCAGUUUAUUGUAUACAUUUUAUACAAUAAACUGAUGAACUUAUAUUGAAAAUCACAUUUCUAUAAUCAUCUUACACAAAAUCUAAAAUAAUUCAUUAGAUGAUACUUAUACUAUUUCAA